GACGAACGCUGGCGGCGUGCCUAAUACAUGCAAGUAGAACGCACAGGAUGCACCGUAGUUUACUACACCGUAUUCUGUGAGUUGCGAACGGGUGAGUAACGCGUAGGUAACCUGCCUGGUAGCGGGGGAUAACUAUUGGAAACGAUAGCUAAUACCGCAUAAGAACAUUUACUGCAUGGUAGAUGUUUAAAAGGUGCAAAUGCAUCACUACCAGAUGGACCUGCGUUGUAUUAGCUAGUAGGUGAGGUAACGGCUCACCUAGGCGACGAUACAUAGCCGACCUGAGAGGGUGAUCGGCCACACUGGGACUGAGACACGGCCCAGACUCCUACGGGAGGCAGCAGUAGGGAAUCUUCGGCAAUGGGGGGAACCCUGACCGAGCAGCGCCGCGUGAGUGAAGAAGGUUUUCGGAUCGUAAAGCUCUGUUGUUAAGGAAGAACGAGUGUGAGAAUGGAAAGUUCAUACUGUGACGGUACUUAACCAGAAAGGGACGGCUAACUACGUGCCAGCAGCCGCGGUAAUACGUAGGUCCCGAGCGUUGUCCGGAUUUAUUGGGCGUAAAGCGAGCGCAGGCGGUUAGAUAAGUCUGAAGUUAAAGGCAGUGGCUCAACCAUUGUAGGCUUUGGAAACUGUUUAACUUGAGUGCAGAAGGGGAGAGUGGAAUUCCAUGUGUAGCGGUGAAAUGCGUAGAUAUAUGGAGGAACACCGGUGGCGAAAGCGGCUCUCUGGUCUGUAACUGACGCUGAGGCUCGAAAGCGUGGGGAGCGAACAGG
rnacentral:rRNA from 1 species